CUAACACAGACUUACCCUUCAGCGGUUGGUACAAGGUUGCAUUUUCAGGCCAAGGCUCUGUAGCUGUCAAUGUCAUGAGAAGACAUACUACAAUACUCAGUGGUACCAGACGGGGGCGUCACUGCUUCAUCACAGCCGGAGUGAUGCUACCAGGCAGGCUGCUGCUGCUGUGUUUUCCUCUCCUCGUCCUCUUUCUUAGGCUCCGGCUUCCCUCCCAGCUCCUCCACGGUCCCCAGC